GCAGCGACGGAACACAAGGGAAAUACACAUUUGUAGCCUAUACUGUGAUGAAACCAAUAUUGGGAGAUGGUCGCGAUGGCAAAGUAGCCCUACAAGUCAGUCAAGUGAAUAGAGGUGAUGUGGCAGCUGCAACCAGGUAGUCUCAAGAGGCUUGGCAUUGUGUUCUCCAUUCUAUGAUAGAUGGAAGCUACAAUCUCACACCCCAACCUCUAACCUCAAGGCCCAAUGGAAUUUUACAAUAUUGUAAAAUGGGAUAUAGAUGAUUGUUGGCUUCUCAUAGCCAGAUCAAACCUGGGAUUUUUUCCCCACAGAUAAACCGAAGAUAAGAGUUUUUGCCUGCUUCACGGUCCAUUAUUACUUUUGGUACGCGCUCGGCCAGUCUCAAACUCGUACCGUGAGUAAUAAUGCACUGUGGCUGUCACUGCCAACGAGAGACGGACAACACCACAGUUCUCUGUAAUCCUAUGCAUCUCAUCGUUGUAUAGCCAGUUGUGAAGCAGGAAAUGUGGUGAAAACUCAGCCCCUGUGUCAGGAUGACAGCAUUUGAAUAUAAUCAUUUAGGCUACUUUCAUAUCCAGUGAAGAAAUUGACUAGCCAGUUUACUUAAAUAUUAUUGUUGAAUUGUUUAUUUUAAAUACGUUGUUGAAUGUACUGUAGGCCUACCUUGUAAUGGUGAUAACACUUCAAGAAUAGCCUAUUUGUGACAUUUGAAAAUGUUAACUCUAAAUGUUACAUCUGUUAUUUAUAGCUGCAGAAUCAUUUCCCUGUGGCUGUUAUAUUUAUGUUGACUGCAUAUGUCUUGUUUCAGUACAAUAAAACAGUGAUAUUAGGCUAUAGCCUAUUA